UCUCUCACCAGAUGUGCCCCCCGCCAACCUUGGAUGUCUCAGUCUCCAGAACUCAGAUGAGCCAGCUCCCUUGUGAAGCUGUAAGAACAUGGUACUUACAGGAGUAAGGCUCAUGAAGUGGAGAGAUGAGAAGACUUUCGGGACAGAUUGUGUGGAGGCUGUCAUUCUCCUCGUGACAUUGCUGUGGGAGAAGAAGGAGGCAUUCCAUGUUGGCUUCAGUGAAGAACUUCAGGCUGUAUGAAGCUGAGGCAAGAUUGCGUUCAAUUUAUCUUGUGUUCAACAGUCUUCAAGGUGAUUUAGAUCACUGCCUGGGAAAGC
rnacentral:lncRNA from 10 species